UCCCGCGCCUGCCUUCCCGUUCCUCCCUUACCUCCUCAGGUUCCUCCCGGCCGUACAGACUGGUAACGGAAAGGCGGUCCCCAUCUUCCCACAGCCUUUCUCCUCCUCCUCCUGUGAAGUCAGCGGCUGUGAAUUCAAGGCAGAAAAUGCGGGAGUGCCAAGCAGGAGAAUGGGCCAACAAGACCAGCUCCGUGUGGAGGCAGAGACAGACAGGAGGAACGAGGAAACGGAAGCAGCACCUUGUUCAUGCGAGUCUCACUAAUAGCCCGCUCAUUCAUCCUCCUCCUGUCUGUGUCUGAGCACCGUUCACAGUCUGACUGGCCAGUCAGAGCCUAGAAAUAACAAAAUAAAACAACACACAAAAUUCGCUCUACAGUCUUUUUUUGUGUUGCCGCCAAGCGGCUGGAAUUCCCUUCCUUUCUGCAACAACGUGCUGGAAUUAACUUGGAAGCAGCUUCUCCCAGCCCGCUACCCUCAGUAUCGCUGUCACUCCCAGGCCCAGUCAUUGGUUCAUAGCCGGCGGCUGAGGAUCACUGCCACAUGGAGUAGUUGAUUACUGCAGAUUGGAGGUCAAGGGCGUGACCUUCGACCCUCUCAACAGCUGUCUGUAUCUCACAGAUGAAGUUUUGCAUACCUACAAUGAUGGCCUAAUGUAUCUUACCAACGACAAGCCCACAUACAAAAAGGAUAUUGUGUGCACAUAUUGAACAUGAGAAUGAAUAUAGAGAUCACAGAAAAUGGUGCCCAAAAACAAAAUGCAAUUAGCCAUAUCUGGAAUUCGUAUUAGCUACAGAAGUUAUUGCAUACUGGCAAAUAUUUGAUCAAUAUUGCAAAUAUGAAUAAUAUUUUCAUUAUGGUGGACAAAACGUUUGUGAAUAAAGUGAAAAUAAAAUUUACAUAAAUAC